UGCUACACAUGCAGUCGAGCGGAAGGCCCUUCGGGGUACUCGAGCGGCGAACGGGUGAGUAACACGUGAGUAACCUGCCCCUGACUCUGGGAUAAGCCUGGGAAACUGGGUCUAAUACCGGAUAUGACCAUUUCGGGCAUCCGAUGGUGGUGGAAAGUUUUUUCGGUUGGGGAUGGACUCGCGGCCUAUCAGCUUGUUGGUGGGGUAGUGGCCUACCAAGGCGACGACGGGUAGCCGGCCUGAGAGGGCGACCGGCCACACUGGGACUGAGACACGGCCCAGACUCCUACGGGAGGCAGCAGUGGGGAAUAUUGCGCAAUGGGCGGAAGCCUGACGCAGCGACGCCGCGUGGGGGAUGACGGCCUUCGGGUUGUAAACCUCUUUCAGCAGGGACGAAGUUGACGUGUACCUGUAGAAGAAGCGCCGGCUAACUACGUGCCAGCAGCCGCGGUAAUACGUAGGGCGCAAGCGUUGUCCGGAAUUAUUGGGCGUAAAGAGCUCGUAGGUGGCUUGUCGCGUCUGCCGUGAAAGCUUAGGGCUUAACCCUAGGUCUGCGGUGGAUACGGGCAGGCUAGAGGCUGGUAGGGGCAAGCGGAAUUCCUGGUGUAGCGGU
rnacentral:rRNA from 1 species